UACAGAGGUCUCAAGCGUUGUUCGGAUUCAUUGGGCGUAAAGGGUGCGUAGGCGGCGGGGUAAGUCUGAUGUGAAAUCCCGGGGCUCAACCCUGGAACUGCAUUGGAUACUGCUCUGCUUGAGUACUGGAGAGGAGACUGGAAUUUACGGUGUAGCAGUGAAAUGCGUAGAGAUCGUAAGGAAGACCAGUGGCGAAGGCGAGUCUCUGGACAGUUACUGACGCUGAGGCACGAAGGCCAGGGGAGCAAACGGG
rnacentral:rRNA from 1 species